UACGAAGGGGGCGAGCGUUGUUCGGAUUUACUGGGCGUAAAGGGCGCGCAGGCGGCCGCUCAAGUCAGGCGUGAAAGCCCCGGGCUUAACCUGGGAACUGCGUCUGGGACUGGGUGGCUAGAGAUCGGGAGAGGAGAGUGGAAUUCCCAGUGUAGAGGUGAAAUUCGUAGAUAUUGGGAAGAACACCGAUAGCGAAGGCAGCUUACUACAGGAUGAUUGACGCUGAGGCACGAAAGCGUGGGGAGCAAACAGG
rnacentral:rRNA from 1 species